rnacentral:siRNA from 1 species
AUACUGCCUGGACACGAAGCGGAU